rnacentral:rRNA from 2 species
AGAGUUUGAUCAUGGCUCAGAUUGAACGCUGGCGGCAGGCCUAACACAUGCAAGUCGAACGGUAACAGGAAGCAGCUUGCUGCUUCGCUGACGAGUGGCGGACGGGUGAGUAAUGUCUGGGAAGCUGCCUGAUGGAGGGGGAUAACUACUGGAAACGGUAGCUAAUACCGCAUAAUGUCGCAAGACCAAAGAGGGGGACCUUCGGGCCUCUUGCCAUCGGAUGUGCCCAGAUGGGAUUAGCUUGUUGGUGGGGUAACGGCUCACCAAGGCGACGAUCCCUAGCUGGUCUGAGAGGAUGACCAGCCACACUGGAACUGAGACACGGUCCAGACUCCUACGGGAGGCAGCAGUGGGGAAUAUUGCACAAUGGGCGCAAGCCUGAUGCAGCCAUGCCGCGUGUAUGAAGAAGGCCUUCGGGUUGUAAAGUACUUUCAGCGGGGAGGAAGGGAGUAAAGUUAAUACCUUUGCUCAUUGACGUUACCCGCAGAAGAAGCACCGGCUAACUCCGUGCCAGCAGCCGCGGUAAUACGGAGGGUGCAAGCGUUAAUCGGAAUUACUGGGCGUAAAGCGCACGCAGGCGGGUUGGUUAAGUCAGAUGUGAAAUCCCCGGGCUCAACCUGGGAACUGCAUCUGAUACUGGCAAGCUUGAGUCUCGUAGAGGGGGGUAGAAUUCCAGGUGUAGCGGUGAAAUGCGUAGAGAUCUGGAGGAAUACCGGUGGCGAAGGCGGCCCCCUGGACGAAGACUGACGCUCAGGUGCGAAAGCGUGGGGAGCAAACAGGAUUAGAUACCCUGGUAGUCCACGCCGUAAACGAUGUCGACUUGGAGGUUGUGCCCUUGAGGCGUGGCUUCCGGAGCUAACGCGUUAAGUCGACCGCCUGGGGAGUACGGCCGCAAGGUUAAAACUCAAAUGAAUUGACGGGGGCCCGCACAAGCGGUGGAGCAUGUGGUUUAAUUCGAUGCAACGCGAAGAACCUUACCUGGUCUUGACAUCCACGGAAGUUUUCAGAGAUGAGAAUGUGCCUUCGGGAACCGUGAGACAGGUGCUGCAUGGCUGUCGUCAGCUCGUGUUGUGAAAUGUUGGGUUAAGUCCCGCAACGAGCGCAACCCUUAUCCUUUGUUGCCAGCGGUCCGGCCGGGAACUCAAAGGAGACUGCCAGUGAUAAACUGGAGGAAGGUGGGGAUGACGUCAAGUCAUCAUGGCCCUUACGACCAGGGCUACACACGUGCUACAAUGGCGCAUACAAAGAGAAGCGACCUCGCGAGAGCAAGCGGACCUCAUAAAGUGCGUCGUAGUCCGGAUUGGAGUCUGCAACUCGACUCCAUGAAGUCGGAAUCGCUAGUAAUCGUGGAUCAGAAUGCCACGGUGAAUACGUUCCCGGGCCUUGUACACACCGCCCGUCACACCAUGGGAGUGGGUUGCAAAAGAAGUAGGUAGCUUAACCUUCGGGAGGGCGCUUACCACUUUGUGAUUCAUGACUGGGGUGAAGUCGUAACAAGGUAACCGUAGGGGAACCUGCGGUUG